CCUACGGGCGGCAGCAGUGAGGAAUAUUGGUCAAUGGGCGCGAGCCUGAACCAGCCAAGUCGCGUGAGGGAAGACUGCCCUGAGUGUUGUAAACCUCUUUUAUCAAGGAACAAAGGCGGCCACGGGUGCCUGUAUGAGUGUACCUUGUGAAUAAGCAUCGGCUAACUCCGUGCCAGCAGCCGCGGUAAUACGGAGGAUCCGAGCGUUAUCCGGAUUUAUUGGGUUUAAAGGGAGCGUAGGCGGAUAGAUAAGGCAGCUGUUAAAGUGGGCGGCUCAAACGUAACCGUGCAGUUGAUACUGGUUGUCUUGAGUGAAGGAGAGGUAGGCGGAAGUCGUGGUGUAGCGGUGAAAUGCUUAGAUAUCACGAAGAACUCCGAUUGCGAAGGCAGCAUACCGGCGCUCCACUGACGCUCAUGCACGAAAGUGUGGGUAUCGAACAGGAUUAGAUACCCGUGUAGUC
rnacentral:rRNA from 1 species